rnacentral:rRNA from 1 species
CCUACGGGAGGCAGCAGUGGGGAAUAUUGGACAAUGGGGGAAACCCUGAUCCAGCGACGCCGCGUGAGUGAAGAAGUAUUUCGGUACGUAAAGCUCUAUCAGCAGGAAAGAAAAUGACGGUACCUGACUAAGAAGCCCCGGCUAACUACGUGCCAGCAGCCGCGGUAAUACGGAGGGGGCAAGCGUUAUCCGGAUUUACUGGGUGGAAAGGGAGCGUAGACGGCAGCGCAAGUCUGGCGUGAAAUGCCGGGGCCCAACCCCGGAACUGCUCUGGAAACUGUGAAGCUUGAGUGCAGGAGAGGGAAGCGGAAUUCCAGGUGUAGCGGUGAAAUGCGUAGAUAUCAGGAGGAACACCGGCGGCGAAGGCGGCUUACUGGACUGUAACUGACGUUGAGGCUCGAAGGCGUGGGGAGCAAACAGGAUUAGAUACCCGAGUAGUC